rnacentral:rRNA from 1 species
GAUGAACGCUAGCGGCAGGCCUAGCACAUGCAAGUCGAGGGGUAGAAGUUGCUUGCAACUUUGAGACCGGCGCACGGGUGCGUAACGCGUAUGCAAUCUGCCUUGUACUGAGGGAUAGCCCAGAGAAAUUUGGAUUAAUACCUCAUAGCAUUAUGAUGUGGCAUCACAUUAUAAUUUAAGUUCCAACGGUACAAGAUGAGCAUGCGUCCCAUUAGUUAGUUGGUAAGGUAACGGCUUACCAAGACGAUGAUGGGUAGGGAUCCUGAGAGGGAGAUCCCCCACACUGGUACUGAGAAACGGACCAGACUCCUACGGGAGGCAGCAGUGAGGAAUAUUGGUCAAUGGGCGCAAGCCUGAACCAGCCAUGCCGCGUGCAGGAUGACGCAUCUAUGGUGUGUAAACUGCUUUUGUACAGGAAGAAACACUCCCUCGUGAGGGAGCUUGUCGGUACUGUAAGAAUAAGGAUCGGCUAACUCCGUGCCAGCCGCCGCCGUAA